ensembl:lncRNA
CACCAUUUAGCAGCCGCUGGUAACCAGUGACUGGAGCUUCAUUGUGUGCUUUUAUUCCUGCCGUGGUUGAGUUCUUGACCUCGUGGGGCAGUAAUGAAAUCAGUGUUGAGGUUUGCUUUAUUAGCAGAGACUCUGUGCUGAUGUAUGUGAGCGUGUACCAGCUGACUGAGGUGACCCCUGCAGUGCCUAACUCAGACUUUGCAGGGGAUGGAGAGGCUUAGUCAAUUAAAUCCAGUAGGCUGCAGCCCGGGAGCACAACAGGAAGAGGAGCAGCCAUAGCGGGGUCGAGUCUGACUGAAGGGUUGGAAAAAGGAAGGGGACUUGCACUCAAAGUGGCUGGACCCUCAAGGCAACAGGUGAACAGACAUGAUUUCCUCUGUGAUGUGGAAUGUUUAAUAAAAUAUCUGCAGGAGACGCGCAGAUCUAGAAUGGAUUGGAUUUUCGUUUGUAUUUGUAAAACAUUGUCAUGAAGCGUGUUUUCUUUUCUCUAUUAAGUGAUAACAUUUGUUUCAUCAGCAUCCUCUUCAUGUGCUCUGUAUCCAUUCUGAAGAGUUUUGAGUUUUGUGCUUUCCGGACUUUAGAAUUGAAGAUGAAAUGGUUUGUUGUCAUGUGAUAAUCCACUAACGGACAUUAGAUGGUUGUUUUUUCAACACUCGCACUGACAGCUUCCAAUUGGAGUGUUUAUCUCUAGGUAAACUAAAACCACUGAAAGGCCCAGUUACAUUUUAAAACAAGAAAUAGUAUAGAUAAACUAUUCACAAAUUAAUAUUAAUCGGUUUAUUUCUUGAGGGUCGAGAAGCAUGUUUCCUUGUCGUAAAGCUUUAUUUGGGUCCCCAUGACUCGUCAAAUAAUUCCCCAGGUAAAUGAAAGGAUGUUAUUUAAGCAAUAAGGUACGAGAGGCUGUAUUUUAUCGUCCAGCAAGGAGUUUGGCUCUUGGCGGCAAAAUUAUAAAUAGUAAGUAAAUUGCUGCCUUUCAGCACAAAAUAGUUGUAGCCACCAAACGUUGUGUAUCGCAUUUCAGUAGUCUAGAGAAAAAUAGUCCCUGUACGUGCACGUAAACGUUAUUGGGUCUCCUUGCAAGAUCUCGCAGAAUCUCAUUCAUUCACAUCGCUGAUGACGUCCACCUCAAUAGUCCGGGUGCUAAAGCUCACAUUGCCCCAAA